ensembl:snoRNA SNORA79 small nucleolar RNA, H/ACA box 79
UGACGUCGGUUCCUCCUCCUGACUUCAGUCGAUCAGGAGGAUUUUACGAUGUCACAGAGACAUUCGGGUCUUUUUCACCCAGAAAGCUCCAGGCUCCCGCAGCCAAACAUAAACCGGCUUCCUGGUUUUGCAAGAUCCAACAAAC